ensembl:lncRNA novel transcript, sense intronic to MOCOS
AGCUACACCUGUGUCCCGAGCAUUGGACUGGAUGCUGCCAUAUAGCAGCUCAUUUAACCUUUGUCCCAUCUGCAGAUGAAAGAACAGGGGCCCAGAAUGGCUACUGGUGGAGCCAGGAUUCAAGUCUGGGUUGAUUGACUUGGAUUUUGUACUGUUAACCCCUAUGCUGCCUGACUUUCUCCUAACAUCACAUCUAUGGGUGAUUUAACACAGCUUUCCCACCCUUUUGUUUUUCCUGCAAAAUUAACCAUUGGACCAAAAGCCAAAGCAUCUUCUUCUCCAAUAGCUACUUGGCCCUCCAGAAGACUGUGGCACAGUGUGAGAUGCUCCCCAGCAGCUUCCAGGUCUCACCUGUGGCCUUGAUGCCUGGGUGAACAAAAGCCUUUCUUUUGGUUUGGUACCUUUGUAUUUCUGAAUCUUUAGUAAAAGCGAACAUUGUUUUAAAAGUA